GUCUAUGGCCAUGCCACCCUGAACAAGCCCGAUCUUGUCUUAUUUUGGAAGCUAAGCAGGGUUGGGCCUGGUUAGUACUUGGAUGGGAGACUACCUAGGAAUACCAAGUGCUGUAGGAG
rnacentral:rRNA from 1 species